rnacentral:rRNA from 1 species
GUCGGCCGCGAAUCCGGGCCAAGUCUCUUGGAAAAGGGCAGCUGAGAGGGUGAAACUCCCGUUCUUGCUCUGAUUUGUUGCGCUUUGGCACAUGCUUUCUACGAGUCGAGUUGCUUGGGAUUGCAGCUCAAAUUUGGUGGUAAAUUCCAUCUAAAGCUAAAUAUUGGUGUGACACCGAUAGUGUACAAGUACCGUGAGGGAAAGAUGCAAAGAACUUUGAAAAGAGAGUUAAAGAGUACCUGAAAUUGUUAAAAGGGAAGCGAAGGAAUCCAGUGUAAAGCGACGCCAUUCUUCUCAAGCCACUUGUGGUUUGGGCGCUGUGGUUAGCUGUACUAAUUCUGGGCUUGAUCUGGGGCAAACGUUCUGUGAGUAGACGACUCUUCGGAGUGAGUGCUCACUUUUCAUAUCCUGGGUCGGGCUGAGGUCAGUCACUCUGUGCUCGUGAUGAAUUAGGAAAUGGAUUUCUUUACCCCGUCUUGAAACACGGACCAAGGAGUCUAACAUAUGUGCAAGUACGUCAGUGGCAAACUGAUAUGCGUAAUGAAAGUAACAGUGGUAGGAACCUUCGGGUGCACUAUCCGCCGGCCAACAUCCUUCGGGAGAAAGGUCU